rnacentral:rRNA from 1 species
CCGUGUACGUACAAGCAGUGGGAGCCUCUUUAUGGGGUGACUGCGUACCUUUUGUAUAAUGGGUCAGCGACUUAUAUUCUGUAGCAAGGUUAACCGAAUAGGGGAGCCGAAGGGAAACCGAGUCUUAACUGGGCGUUAAGUUGCAGGGUAUAGACCCGAAACCCGGUGAUCUAGCCAUGGGCAGGUUGAAGGUUGGGUAACACUAACUGGAGGACCGAACCGACUAAUGUUGAAAAAUUAGCGGAUGACUUGUGGCUGGGGGUGAAAGGCCAAUCAAACCGGGAGAUAGCUGGUUCUCCCCGAAAGCUAUUUAGGUAGCGCCUCGUGAAUUCAUCUCCGGGGGUAGAGCACUGUUUCGGCAAGGGGGUCAUCCCGACUUACCAACCCGAUGCAAACUGCGAAUACCGGAGAAUGUUAUCACGGGAGACACACGGCGGGUGCUAACGUCCGUCGUGAAGAGGGAAACAACCCAGACCGCCAGCUAAGGUCCCAAAGUCAUGGUUAAGUGGGAAACGAUGUGGGAAGGCCCAGACAGCCAGGAUGUUGGCUUAGAAGCAGCCAUCAUUUAAAGAAAGCGUAAUAGCUCACUGGUCGAGUCGGCCUGCGCGGAAGAUGUAACGGGGCUAAACCAUGCACCGAAGCUGCGGCAGCGACGCUUAUGCGUUGUUGGGUAGGGGAGCGUUCUGUAAGCCUGCGAAGGUGUGCUGUGAGGCAUGCUGGAGGUAUCAGAAGUGCGAAUGCUGACAUAAGUAACGAUAAAGCGGGUGAAAAGCCCGCUCGCCGGAAGACCAAGGGUUCCUGUCCAACGUUAAUCGGGGCAGGGUGAGUCGACCCCUAAGGCGAGGCCGAAAGGCGUAGUCGAUGGGAAACAGGUUAAUAUUCCUGUACUUGGUGUUACUGCGAAGGGGGGACGGAGAAGGCUAUGUUGGCCGGGCGACGGUUGUCCCGGUUUAAGCGUGUAGGCUGGUUUUCCAGGCAAAUCCGGAAAAUCAAGGCUGAGGCGUGAUGACGAGGCACUACGGUGCUGAAGCAACAAAUGCCCUGCUUCCAGGAAAAGCCUCUAAGCAUCAGGUAACAUCAAAUCGUACCCCAAACCGACACAGGUGGUCAGGUAGAGAAUACCAAGGCGCUUGAGAGAACUCGGGUGAAGGAACUAGGCAAAAUGGUGCCGUAACU